CAUUUUUCCUUUAGAGCCUCCAGUAG
rnacentral:piRNA from 1 species